UUUUUCCAGCUCUGAGAAGCAUCUUGACUGGAUCAAGCAAGAGUGGAACUCCAGGAAGGACUGGUGGCCAGCCUUCCAUUUUAGCCGUUACUUGGCAAAAAGGAAUUGGCAGGAAAAUAAAAGCCUUUCAUAUGAAAAAGCUCUGGUGGCUGGAAUCUUACUGGGAAAGGAUUGCAAAUACUUCAAAUAUGUAUCACACCAAAGCUGCAAAGCUCAGCUGAAAAGGUUUUGGAUGCUGAAGAAGUUUGUGACCAGGCACAAUCCUGUCUACCUGAGAAUAUCUGGUCCUCCAGAUUCCUCUGUUCAGCCUUGAUAAGAAGCUGUCCCUAAGGUUCUUGGUACUUUUUCCUCUCUGUAAAACUGACUUUUGUGUUGGUGGUACUCCAGAAUCUUUAGGCAGACCCUACUGACUCAGUACCAGACUGUUUUUUAAUAUAUUUAUGUAAAACUACUUUAGUUUGUGUUUAUUUUAUAAUAAAAUGAAUAUAAAUCAA